rnacentral:lncRNA from 1 species
AACAGUUCACAAAAUUUAAGCAUAAUCAGAAGUUCAGAAACUGUUUAAUGACAUAAAAAUUACUAAAUCACAUAAUAAAAUUACAAAUUAAAACUGUUUAGUCCCAAUUAAACCGUUUAGGCGGUUUUGCGACAUAAAAUUUCACACAAUAAAAGCCUCACAAAAGUUAAAAACAAUUAAAGUUAUAAAGCACAUUCUGCUUGUUCAGGGGAUCAGAACAUAAUCUAUGCUUGUUCAACAAAGAACUUCACUUCAACACCAUGAGUCCAUGAUCACCUUCUCUGAACCAGUCCAUCAUCAACAACAAGAAUUUAGUUGGUUUCUAUAGAUCCCAUUUUCUCUACUAAAUAAUCAAACAGGCCUGACAAAAAAUAUAAGUUACAAGUUAGCAAGUGGCCAUGUUCAACAAUACUGUAAGCUAAAUUGCUAGGAUACUUGAUUAGGAAACAAGAAGAAUUAAUUAAGAGAAGUGUGUUGUGACCUCUGUAUGUUGAUUUGAAUUUUCAAAAACACAGUACAGUAUGUUGAAUGAAUGAAGGGGUGAGGUCAAAUGGUGAAUAACUAGUAGAGUAAUAUUUAACUGCAUUAUAUAAUAUUUGUUAAUAAUAGAGUUAAGAGCAUAGCACAGCACAUGAGACAAUUUGUUAAAAAAACAAAACAAAACAAAAGGAGGUCAGAGGAGUAACUGAACUAAGUGGGCAUGAUGACGGUAUGGACGUAUGGUAUCUCAAAAAUUAUAAUUGUUGAGAGUUGAAGCAACACCAGGUAGUAGCUAAUAAUCAAUCCUAAUUCCUACAUACAUACAACUAUACAAGAUACAACUAACAGUGCAGACAGGCUAAUUACAGAGGAGCAAACUGAAAUGUGACUGAGUGUAGACAUUUUAUAGGUAGAGUUGUAUUACCUCUUCUACGGAAGUACUCAAAUAAAAAAGAUUGUUCAAUCAUUCAUUCAAAAUAAAAGUUUUCCAUCAAAUUAACAAACAACUCCUAUUUCUUCAUACCAAAUGUGUAGCAACAGCAACAGCAACAUCAGAAGCAAAUAAUCCAUCAAU